rnacentral:rRNA from 1 species
UACGGAGGGGGCUAGCGUUGUUCGGAAUUACUGGGCGUAAAGCGCACGUAGGCGGCUUUGUAAGUUAGAGGUGAAAGCCCGGAGCUCAACUCCGGAAUUGCCUUUAAGACUGCAUCGCUCGAAUCAUGGAGAGGUGAGUGGAAUUCCGAGUGUAGAGGUGAAAUUCGUAGAUAUUCGGAGGAACACCGGUGGCGAAGGCGGCAUCCUGGACCGGUAUUGACGCUGAUGCGCGAAAGCCAGGGGAGCAAACGGG